rnacentral:tRNA from 1 species
AGCCAAUGAACUUGUGUAAAAGUGUAUACUUUGAAAGUAUAAAAAAGGAAAUUCUCCUAUUGGCUU